CGCGUGCACCUUAUUAUAAAUUCAGGUUAAUGAUUUAUCGAGAGGCGAUUUCCGUUUUUAUUCAUCGCAUGGUUAUAGAAGGAUUACACAAGCCCGACGAGUAUUGGCCUCGACAGGAAAGCUAAAAUGCGCCAGCGACGUAUUUAUUUGCAGACAAGGAAAUCCCUGCACUGUCAUAAAACGAUUCUCUUCGAUGCAGUGAAGAUAAAUGACACUAUGCAGGUUGAAAGAAGGGGCCUAAAGUUGAUAAGACGCGGACAGCAUCUGCAGCCAUUUUGCUGCCUUUGUCACGAAACAACCUGGUCACGCAAGCUCGGCGGUUGAUUAUAUGUUUUGCGCGCGCAAAGGGAGCUUUCAAUCCUCCUUGCAUUAUAGGUAUAAUAUAGGCAAAGAUAUAUGAAUAAUAAUGACUUUCUUGUAAAAAAAGGUUUAUUUUUAAAAUAAAACAUUACACACUCG